CUCUCUCUCUCAGAGGAAACUUCGUUGUUCUGCCGUAAGUCUCUCACUCUCUCAUCUUCAGCGAAACAGUUUCCCCUUCACACGCACGCCACAACCCCCGCCUCUUCUCCGUUCGACAUCUAUCUCUCUCAUCUCCGGCGACGACGUGCUCUCUCUCAUCUCCGGCUCUCUUCUCAAUCCCCAAGUCGUCGAUCUUUGCGAUGUCGUUUUGAAGUGAAGAACAACCGUUUCGAAGAUGAAUCGGUUUAUUUGACUAUUUUUCCCUUGAUUACUGAUCGUUAGUUGUUUUAUUCAAUCAGAUCUGUUACUGGUCUGCAAUUUACCAUUUGAUUUUUCUUUUUUUUUUCUUUGUUUGGAUUAGAAUACUGAUCGAGUAUCCGUUCGGUUCGGGGAUUACCCGAAAACCGAAUGGCUCGGAAAUAGUUUCAUUCUUCCCUCCCCGUUCGGGGAUCGGGGCGGAUAUGGGCCGAACUUCGGGUUCGGGGAU